GGCCGUAGCGCGGUGGUCCCACCUGACCCCAUGCCGAACUCAGAAGUGAAACGCCGUAGCGCCGAUGGUAGUGUGGGGUCUCCCCAUGCGAGAGUAGGGAACU
rnacentral:rRNA from 1 species